GAUGAACGCUGGCGGCGUGCCUAAUACAUGCAAGUCGAGCGAAUGGAUUAAGAGCUUGCUCUUAUGAAGUUAGCGGCGGACGGGUGAGUAACACGUGGGUAACCUGCCCAUAAGACUGGGAUAACUCCGGGAAACCGGGGCUAAUACCGGAUAAUAUUUUGAACUGCAUGGUUCAAAAUUGAAAGGCGGCUUCGGCUGUCACUUAUGGAUGGACCCGCGUCGCAUUAGCUAGUUGGUGAGGUAACGGCUCACCAAGGCAACGAUGCGUAGCCGACCUGAGAGGGUGAUCGGCCACACUGCGACGGAGACACGGCCCAGACUCAUACGGGAGGCAGCAGUAGGGAAUCUUCCGCAAUGGACGAAGGUCUGACGGAGCAACGCCGCGUGAGUGAUGAAGGCGUUCGGGUCGUAAAACUCUGUUGUUAGGGAAGAACAAGUGCUAGUUGAAUAAGCUGGCACCUUGACGGUACCUAACCAGAAAGCCACGGCUAACUACGUGCCAGCCGCCGCCGUAA
rnacentral:rRNA from 1 species